UACGUAGGGUGCAAGCGUUGUCCGGAAUUAUUGGGCGUAAAGAGCUUGUAGGCGGUUUGUCGCGUCUGCUGUGAAAUUUCGGGGCUCAACCCCCGAACUUGCAGUGGGUACGGGCAGACUAGAGUGUGGUAGGGGAGACUGGAAUUCCUGGUGUAGCGGUGGAAUGCGCAGAUAUCAGGAGGAACACCGGUGGCGAAGGCGGGUCUCUGGGCAGUAACUGACGCUGAGGAGCGAAAGCGUGGGGAGCGAACAGG
rnacentral:rRNA from 1 species